UACGUAGGUGGCGAGCGUUGUCCGGAUUUACUGGGCGUAAAGGGCGUGCAGGCGGUUUGUUAAGUGCAGGGUGAAAGCUCCCGGCUCAACUGGGAGAGGUCCUUGCAUACUGGCGAACUCGAGGGAGGCAGAGGAAAGUGGAAUUCCCGGUGUAGUGGUGAUAUGCGUAGAUAUCGGGAGGAACACCAGUGGCGAAGGCGACACGCUGGGCCGUACCUGACACUGAUGCGCGACAGCAUGGGGAGCAAACAGG
rnacentral:rRNA from 1 species